AGAUUAGCAAAAAAGAAAAAUGAACGUUAACCACGGAGAUGAAACUGAAGUUAACCACGGAGAUGAAACUGAAG
rnacentral:lncRNA from 1 species